AUGAACGCUAGCUACAGGCUUAACACAUGCAAGUCGAGGGGCAGCAUGAACUUAGCUUGCUAAGUUUGAUGGCGACCGGCGCACGGGUGAGUAACACGUAUCCAACCUGCCGAUGACUCGGGGAUAGCCUUUCGAAAGAAAGAUUAAUACCCGAUGGCAUAGUUCUUCCGCAUGGUGGAACUAUUAAAGGAUUUCGGUCAUCGAUGGGGAUGCGUUCCAUUAGGUUGUUGGCGGGGUAACGGCCCACCAAGCCUUCGAUGGAUAGGGGUUCUGAGAGGAAGGUCCCCCACAUUGGAACUGAGACACGGUCCAAACUCCUACGGGAGGCAGCAGUGAGGAAUAUUGGUCAAUGGACGAGAGUCUGAACCAGCCAAGUAGCGUGAAGGAUGACUGCCCUAUGGGUUGUAAACUUCUUUUAUACGGGAAUAAAGUGAGGCACGUGUGCCUUUUUGUAUGUACCGUAUGAAUAAGGAUCGGCUAACUCCGUGCCAGCAGCCGCGGUAAUACGGAGGAUCCGAGCGUUAUCCGGAUUUAUUGGGUUUAAAGGGAGCGUAGGCGGACGCUUAAGUCAGUUGUGAAAGUUUGCGGCUCAACCGUAAAAUUGCAGUUGAUACUGGGUGUCUUGAGUACAGUAGAGGCAGGCGGAAUUCGUGGUGUAGCGGUGAAAUGCUUAGAUAUCACGAAGAACUCCGAUUGCGAAGGCAGCCUGCUGGACUGUAACUGACGCUGAUGCUCGAAAGUGUGGGUAUCAAACAGGAUUAGAUACCCUGGUAGUCCACACAGUAAACGAUGAAUACUCGCUGUUUGCGAUAUACAGUAAGCGGCCAAGCGAAAGCGUUAAGUAUUCCACCUGGGGAGUACGCCGGCAACGGUGAAACUCAAAGGAAUUGACGGGGGCCCGCACAAGCAGUGGAGUAUGUGGUUUAAUUCGACGCAACGCGAAGAACCUUACCAAGGCUUGACAUAUACAGGAAUAUAUAAGAGAUUAUAUAGCUCUUCGGAGUCUGUAUACAGGUGGUGCAUGGUUGUCGUCAGCUCGUGUCGUGAGAUGUUGGGUUAAGUCCCGCAACGAGCGCAACCCCUGUGAUUAGUUGCCAGCGAGUAAUGUCGGGAACUCUAAUCAAACUGCCGGUGAUAAAUCGGAGGAAGGUGGGGACGACGUCAAAUCAUCAUGCCCUUUAUGUCUUGGGCUACACACGUACUACAAUGGCUAUAACAAAGAGAAGCGAGACAGUGAUGUGGAGCAAAACUCAAAAAAAUAGUCUCAGUUCGGAUUGAAGGCUGAAAUUCGCCUUCAUGAAGCUGGAAUUGCUAGUAAUGGCAGGUCAGCAUACUGCCGUGAAUACGUUCCCGGGCCUUGUACACACCGCCCGUCACACCAUGAGAGUUGGAAAUACCCGAAGCCUGUGAGCUAACCUAUGAGGCAGCAGUCGAAGGUAGAGCCAAUGAUUGGGGUG
rnacentral:rRNA from 1 species